CUGGCGGCGUGCCUAAUACAUAGCAAGUCGAGCGAGAAAUACUUCAGACGAUUCUUCGGAUGAGUCAGGAAGAUGGAAAGCGGCGGACGGGUGAGUAACGCGUAGGCAACCUGCCCUCAGCAGAGGGAUAGCCAUUGGAAACGAUGAUUAAAACCUCAUAAUGCCAACACAACACAUGUUGAGCUGGCCAAAGAUUUAUCGGCCGGGGAUGGGCCUGCGUCUGAUUAACUGGUUGGUGAGGUAACGGCUCACCAAGGUAACGAUCAGUAGCCGACCUGAGAGGGUGAUCGGCCACAUUGGAACUGAGACACGGUCCAAACUUCUACGGAAGGCAGCAGUAAGGAAUCUUGCACAAUGGGGGAAACCCUGAAUGCAGCAACGCCGCGUGAACGAUGAAGGCCUUAGGGUUGUAAAGUUCUGAUCUGGGGGAAGAAGAAAGUGACGGUACCCCAGGAGAAAGCCCCGGCUAAAUACGUGCCAGCAGCCGC
rnacentral:rRNA from 1 species